rnacentral:rRNA from 1 species
CAGGAAACCCCUGACAGUGUGGUGGAACCAUCUUUCUGUGGUUCUUACACUGAAUCUGAGCCGACGUGCAUGAUGCAUCAUCAGAGGCCGAAGAAGAUGGUGGCUUUUGAAGGUGCUUUGACUGGGAGGCGUUUCUUGGGUUGUCCUGUGCAGCAGGAUGUAGGUGUGAACUGUGGGGUUGUGGAGUGGGUGGAUGGUCCUUGGCCAGAGAUUCUACAAAGGUGCCUAACCAGGAUUUGGGACAUGUACCAUGAGCAGAACUUGGGGAGGGUGAAUGACAAACAAGCCCAUGAGAAAGAGGUGGCCAAGCUUCAGAAGGAAAUUGAUUUCCUGUCAAACAACUACAACUAG